GGGCCCGCACAAGCAGCGGAGCAUGUGGUUUAAUUCGACGCAACGCGAAGAACCUUACCAGGUCUUGACAUCCAGUAAAGCCUGUAGAGAUACAGAGUGUCUUCGGACAUACUGAGACAGGUGGUGCAUGGUUGUCGUCAGCUCGUGUCGUGAGAUGUUGGGUUAAGUCCCGCAACGAGCGCAACCCUUAUGUUCAGUUACUAACGAGAGAGACGAGGACUCUGAACAGACUGCCGGGGACAACUCGGAGGAAGGUGGGGACGACGUCAAAUCAUCAUGCCCCUUAUGACCUGGGCUACACACGUGCUACAAUGGCCACCACAGAGAGAAGCGAGCUCGCAAGGGGGAGCGGAUCUCAAAAAAGUGGUCUCAGUUCGGAUUGUGGGCUGCAACCCGCCCACAUGAAGUCGGAGUUGCUAGUAAUCGCGGAUCAGCAUGCCGCGGUGAAUACGUUCCCGGGCCUU
rnacentral:rRNA from 1 species